rnacentral:lncRNA from 1 species
CUGAAUUUUCUCACAGAGAUAUCUGAAAUAUGAAGUGUCCACUUGCCACACAAUGCAAUUCUCAGUCUGUUUUCACAAAGGGGAAACUCACCAACAAAGUAUUCUGCUGCUCCAUCUGGCCUUCAUCCUAAGAGGACACCUAUUCACCCCAGGAAAAUGUUAUUAGGCUAGAGCUAUAAUUCAUAGAAUAAUGCAUUUUUGGAGCACGGUAUAUUGUUUUUCACAAAUGUGCAAAUGUCUUUGAGAUUUUGAAUAAAUUCAGAUUCUGAAUAACUUUUGGAUGCUGU